UACGGAGGGUGCAAGCGUUGUCCGGAAUCACUGGGCGUAAAGGGCGCGUAGGCGGCUCAUGAAGGCUGUGGUGAAAGUCAGGGGCUCAACCUCGGAUCGGCCGUGGCGACUCGUGGGCUGGAGCACUGUAGAGGCGGGUGGAAUUCCGGGUGUAGCGGUGGAAUGCGUAGAGAUCCGGAAGAACACCAGUGGCGAAGGCGGCCCGCUGGGCAGUGGCUGACGCUGAGGCGCGACAGCGUGGGGAGCAAACAGG
rnacentral:rRNA from 1 species